GUCUGCUCUACUGACUGAAUUGGUAGAGCGCUCCACUGGAAAUGGAGAGGUCCCGGGUUCGAUACCCGAACCAGACG
rnacentral:tRNA from 1 species